ACGCUAGCGGCAGGCCUAACACAUGCAAGUCGAACGGUAAGGUCCCUUCGGGGAUACACGAGUGGCGCACGGGUGCGUAACACGUAUGCAACCUACCUUCCAGAGGGGAAUAGUCGCGGGAAACUGCGAAUAAUACCCCGUACGAUCGCGAAGUCGCAUGGCUUUGCGAGGAAAGCUCCGGUGCUGGAAGAUGGGCAUGCGUUCCAUUAGCUAGUUGGUGAGGUAACGGCUCACCAAGGCGACGAUGGAUAGCUGGUCUGAGAGGAUGAUCAGCCACACGGGAACUGAGACACGGUCCCGACUCCUACGGGAGGCAGCAGUGAGGAAUCUUGGUCAAUGGGGGCAACCCUGAACCAGCCAUGCCGCGUGGAGGAUGACGGCCCUCUGGGUUGUAAACUUCUUUAGCUAGGGACUAAUUGCGUGCUAUAGGCACGCUUGCAGGUACCUAGAGAAUAAGCGCCGGCUAACUACGUGCCAGCAGCCGCGGUAAUACGUAGGGCGCAAGCGUUGUCCGGAUUUAUUGGGUUUAAAGGGUGCGUAGGCGGAUAGAUAAGUUCGUGGUGAAAUCGUUCGGCUUAACCGGAUAUCCGCCAUGGAUACUGUUUAUCUUGAGUGUGGUUGAGGAAGUUAGAAUGCGUGGUGUAGCGGUGAAAUGCAUAGAUAUCACGCAGAAUACCAAUUGCGAAGGCAGACUUCUGGGCCAUUACUGACGCUGAGGCACGAAAGCGUGGGGAGCGAACAGGAUUAGAUACCCUGGUAGUCCACGCUGUAAACGAUGAUCACUAGGUGUUCGGUCAUACGGCUGAGUGCCCAAGCGAAAGCGAUAAGUGAUCCACCUGGGGAGUACGUUCGCCAAGAAUGAAACUCAAAGGAAUUGACGGGGGCCCGCACAA
rnacentral:rRNA from 1 species